GGAGUUUGGGCCGUGUCUCAGUCCCAAUGUGGCCGUUCACCCUCUCAGGCCGGCUACUGAUCGUCGCCUUGGUGGGCCGUUACCUCACCAACUAGCUAAUCAGACGCGGGUCCAUCUUACACCACCGGAGUUUUUCACACUGUACCAUGCGGUACUGUGCGCUUAUGCGGUAUUAGCAGUCGUUUCCAACUGUUGUCCCCCUGUGUAAGGCAGGUUACCCACGCGUUACUCACCCGUCCGCCACUAAACUUUUCAAAUGAAUCUACUUUGUGCAAGCACUCCGCUUCUUCGGGAGAAAAGUUCCGUUCGACUUGCAUGUGUUAAGCACGCCGCCAGCGUUCAUC
rnacentral:rRNA from 1 species